CCUACGGGUGGCAGCAGUGGGGAAUAUUGCACAAUGGGGGAAACCCUGAUGCAGCGACGCCGCGUGAGCGAUGAAGUCUUUCUGUAUGUAAAGCUCUAUCAGCAGGGAAGAAAAUGACGGUACCUGACUAAGAAGCCCCGGCUAAAUACGUUCAAGCAGCCGCGGCAAUACGUAGGGGGCAAGCGUAAUCCGGAUUUACUGGGUGUAAAGGGAGCGUAGGCGGCUGUGCAAGCCAGAUGUGAAAGCCCGGGGCUCAACCCCGGGACUGCAUUUGGAACUGUGUGGCUGGAGUGUCGGAGAGGCAGGCGGAAUGCCUGGUGUAGCGGUGAAAUGCGUAGAUAUUAGGAAGAACACCAAUGGCGAAGGCAGCCUGCUGGACGAUGACUGACGUUGAGGCUCGAAAGCGUGGGGAGCAAACAGGAUUAGAUACCCUGGUAGUC
rnacentral:rRNA from 1 species